rnacentral:lncRNA from 1 species
AAUAAAUUUGUCUGCUAUCCUAACCAAAAGAAAUAUGGAAGCGUAUUAUAUAGAUAGGUAGUACUCACUGCCAGAAACUUCAAUUGGCAAUGGAAAUUAAUCCUAAUGGCCCUGUGAAGAGUACUAGAGUAGGCUUGAAGCUCACUUGAAGGCAGGUGACAAGGUACAGAGAAUAAUGAAGAAGCUUGUGAUAUUAAACAUCACCAAUAGCAAAAACAGCAGCAGCUGUAACAAAUGCCACCAAUGACUCUAAUUGUCCUUUGUCUCAUAUCUAAGAUUCACUUAAGCCUGAUUGUUUUGACUCUAGAUAUCCCUUUAUCCUCUCCCACUUCCACACCACACACACUUUUCUACCCGUAACCCUAAAAAAAUGAAAUAUUUUAUACUUGGAAACUGCUAUCACUUAUGCUCCUCUAUAUCUCACCUUCCUUUAGCCUAGUCUCUUUGUUCUCUUGCCUGUGAUCAGGGAUGGGAAACCAUUCUAGUGUAGCUGACCUCUCCCUUAUUCUUCUUUUUAAAAUUGAUGGCUUUUAACUAAAUAAUCCUACUCUCUCUUUCCAUGCAGGAGUUAUCCAAUCUUCCUUCUACAUCAUCAACCACCACCAGCACCUUUACAACCACUCCCUAUCCACCACUGACUGAGAAGUACCAAAAAAAAAAAAAUCUUGCUGGAAUCUGAAGGUGUCAAAUCUCAGGGGAGGCGAUCCCUCAGGACCUCAUCUUGAUUUCCUUCUUCCUAAUUUGGUUUGAUGAUCCUGGUGUCCUGGGUUCCAGGGACCUUCCUAGAUAUAUUGUUUGAUUGUUGCUGCUCCUACACCUUAUCUAAAGUUAGACUUCCUUUUGUAUACCCACUGUUGGACAAGUUUUGUACAGUGUCUAUCCAAAUGAAUUUUGAAAUCAAGGUGCUUCUGACACAUCUAGCAAGAAUGGCAUAUUGAGUGGGUGCUUAGCUAUGAUUUAAAUACUUAUUACCUCCAAAGAGUGACAUGCAA